rnacentral:rRNA from 1 species
AUACGGAGGGUGCGAGCGUUAAUCGGAAUUACUGGGCGUAAAGCGUACGUAGGCGGUUGGUUAAGUUAGAUGUGAAAGCCCCGGGCUUAACCUGGGAACUGCAUUUAAAACUGGCGAACUAGAGUUGAGUAGAGGGGAGUGGAAUUUCAGGUGUAGCGGUGAAAUGCGUAGAGAUCUGGAGGAACACCAGUGGCGAAGGCGACCACCUGGACUCGAACUGACGCUGAGGUACGAAAGCGUGGGUAGCUAACGGGAUUAGAAACCCCAGUAGUCC